rnacentral:rRNA from 1 species
UACGUAGGGUGCGAGCGUUGUCCGGAAUUAUUGGGCGUAAAGGGCUCGUAGGCGGUUUGUCGCGUCGGGAGUGAAAACCUCGGGCUUAACUCGGGGCUUGCUUUCGAUACGGGCAGACUGGAGGUAUGCAGGGGAGAACGGAAUUCCUGGUGUAGCGGUGAAAUGCGCAGAUAUCAGGAGGAACACCGGUGGCGAAGGCGCCACUCUGGGCCGAAACUGACGCUGAGGAGCGAAAGCGUGGGUAGCAAACAGG